rnacentral:rRNA from 1 species
UAGGGAAUCUUCGGCAAUGGGGGCAACCCUGACCGAGCAACGCCGCGUGAGUGAAGAAGGUUUUCGGAUCGUAAAGCUCUGUUGUAAGAGAAGAACGUGUGUGAGAGUGGAAAGUUCACACAGUGACGGUAACUUACCAGAAAGGGACGGCUAACUACGUGCCAGCAGCCGAGGUAAUACGUAGGUCCCGAGCGUUGUCCGGAUUUAUUGGGCGUAAAGCGAGCGCAGGCGGUUUAAUAAGUCUGAAGUUAAAGGCAGUGGCUUAACCAUUGUUCGCUUUGGAAACUGUUAAACUUGAGUGCAGAAGGGGAGAGUGGAAUUCCAUGUGAAGCGGUGAAAUGCGUAGAUAUAUGGAGGAACACCGGUGGCGACAGCGGCUCUCUGGUAUGUAACUGACGCUGAGGCUCGAAAGAGUGGGGAGCAAACAGG